rnacentral:rRNA from 1 species
CAUUAAUGAUUUAUACUGGGAGUUGAUGCUGGUAGUCUUGGUUGGCUACAUGUGCUCGCUCCUAUCAAUCAUAUUCCAAACACCUGUGCACAUUUUUGAGAGGUUUUCGAGCUAGUUGCCAUAUUUGGGUGAUUUGCAUGUAUUCCUCUCAAUAUCAAUAUCUAUACUCUGCUAAUAAUGUUGAACGUGUUGUGCCGUAAGGCCUUAAUGGAUAAAUACAACUUUUAACAACGGAUCUCUUGGCUCUCGCAUCGAUGAAGAACGCAGCGAAAUGCGAUAAGUAAUGUGAAUUGCAGAAUUCAGUGAAUCAUCGAAUCUUUGAACGCACCUUGCGCUCCCUGGUAUUCCGGGGAGCACACCUGUUCGAGUGUCGUGAAAUUCCUCAAGCUUUGGAUGGUCUUGUCUGUCCUUAAGUCUUGGUUAUUGGGCUUUGCCAUAUCCCUUCAUUGGGGAUGGCUGGUCUUAAAAGCAUUAGCUGGCCUUUAUGUGAUAUUGGUUCUACUCAGCGUGAUAAUUAUCUGAUCGCCGAGGACAUCUUUUUGGGAUGGCCAGUGUCUGUUUGGGUUGCUUCUAAUCUGGCUUCAGAUACUCUGAAUCCAUAUUUUCAGUUUUGACCUCGAAUCAGGUGGGACUACCCGCUGAACUUAAGCAUAUCAAUAAGCGGAGGAAAAGAAACUAACAAGGAUUCCCCUAGUAACGGCGAGUGAAGCGGGAAGAGCUCAAAUUUAAAAUCUGGCAGCCUUUGGUUGUCCGAAUUGUAAUCUAGAGAAGCGUUUUCCGCGCUGGACUGUGUACAAGUUUCCUGGAUACGGAACAUCAUAGAGGGUGAGAAUCCCGUCCUUGACACA